rnacentral:lncRNA from 1 species
GUGUUUUUCUGUUGUAUGUAAUUAUUUAUUUUAACAGACUUGACACCUUGUUCUUGUUUUUAAGCCUUGUCUGCUAUAUGGAAAUUUUCCUCUUCAAUACUGAUGCGAUUCCUAUAAGUCACUGAAGGACCAACUGCUAUAUCUCACCCAAUCAUCUAACCGAGCUUUCUCUCUUUUGUUUCAACAAUCCAAAUGGUAGAAACCUUCCUGCCACCAUCUUAGAGAAGCUCACUGAAAGCUCAGUCAGAGUCACUUGUUGCCUUUCAAGAUGGAAGUCUCAUGAAUGUAGG